AAAGUCGUAACAAGGUUUCCGUAGGUGAACCUGCGGAAGGAUCAUUACCGAGUUCAUGCCCCCCGGGGUAGAUCUCCCACCCUUGCUUGGCUUACCUUGUUGCUUUGGCGGGCCGUCUCGGUCCCGAGCCACCGGCGUCCCGCUGGUGCGUGCCCGCCAGAGGUCACCAACGUCGUCUCACUGCAGCAGUCUGAGUGGCAUACAAAUAGAAAUAAAACUUUCAACAACGGAUCUCUUGGCUCUG
rnacentral:misc_RNA from 1 species